rnacentral:rRNA from 1 species
GGGGAGGCUUAUCAUGGCAGUCGACGAAGCACUGAGAACGAUUCUUCGGAUGAAGUCUCUUGUGACUGAGUGGCGGACGGGUGAGUAACGCGUGGGUAACCUGCCUCACACAGGGGGAUAACAGAUGGAAACAACUGCUAAUACCGCAUAAGCGCCCAGCCUCGCAUGAGGCAGAGUGAAAAACUAAGGUGGUAAGGGAUGGCCCUGCGUCCGAUUAGCUAGUUGGUAUGGUAACGGCAUACCAAGGCGACGAUCGGUAGCCGGCCUGAGAGGGUGGACGGCCACAUUGGGACUGAGACACGGCCCAAACUCCUACGGGAGGCAGCAGUGGGGGAUAUUGCACAAUGGGGGAAACCCUGAUGCAGCGACACCGCGUGGGUGAAGAAGCGCUUCGGCGUGUAAAGCCCUAUCAGUGGGGAAGAAAAAGGACGGUACCCAAAGAAGAAGCACCGGCUAAAUACGUGCCAGCAGCCGCGGUAAUACGUAUGGUGCAAGCGUUAUCCGGAAUGACUGGGUGUAAAGGGAGCGUAGACGGUUGUACAAGUCUGAUGUGAAAGCCCACGGCUCAACUGUGGGAGUGCAUUGGAAACUGUAGAACUAGAGUAUCGGAGAGGCAAGUGGAAUUCCUAGUGUAGCGGUGAAAUGCGUAGAUAUUAGGAGGAACACCAGUGGCGAAGGCGGCUUGCUGGACGAAAACUGACGUUGAGGCUCGAAAGCGUGGGGAGCAAACAGGAUUAGAUACCCUGGUAGUCCACGCUGUAAACGAUGAAUACUAGGUGUUGGGGCCCGAAGGGCGUCGG